AAAUUAAAUAAACGGCUUAUAUAUUUCAACAUAAAGGGUUGAAGUUUCUACAAUACACCAAUGUAUUAGCUAUGAGCAUAAUAUAUGUGUAA
rnacentral:ncRNA from 2 species